CGAUGACAUCAUCUAUGGGUUAAGUCCUUUUAUAUGAUCAAUGACAUAUGAGUAUAUUUACAUUCCCCAUGUGUAUUUGAUCAUAUCUAAGGCAAACCUUGUAUCAGCUCAGCAUCGAC
rnacentral:precursor_RNA from 15 species